UACAUGGGGUGCAAACGUUGCUCGGAAUUAUUGGGCGUAAAGCGCACGUAGGCGGUUCGUUAAGUCGGAUGUGAAAGCCCUCGGCUCAACUGAGGAAGUGCACCCGAAACUGGCGAGCUUGAGUACGAAAGAGGAUCGCGGAAUUCCCGGUGUAGAGGUGAAAUUCGUAGAUAUCGGGAGGAACACCGGUGGCGAAGGCGGCGAUCUGGGUCGAUACUGACGCUGAGGUGCGAAAGCGUGGG
rnacentral:rRNA from 1 species